CAACACCCAAAAGGGUUUGGGCAUCCUCCAUCUCCAUGCCCAAGAGGAGCUUGGGCAUCCCACUUGGUGGCUAGUUUCUAGGCUUUAGGUGCUUUAUAAUCAAGAGAAGGAAAGCAAGAAAAGAAGAGAAGAAAAAGAUCAAAAAAAUGGUCAAAGAGUUGAUCCGAUCCAGACUUUGUUCAGAUUCGCAGGGUGAUUAUUCUUGAAAAAGAAAGUCAACAUCAUAGAAGACUGUUCCAGACUGAUCUUGAGUGGAUACCCGUAG
rnacentral:lncRNA from 1 species